rnacentral:rRNA from 1 species
GAUGAACGCUGGCGGCGUGCUUAACACAUGCAAGUCGAACGGUGAAGCAGGAGCUUGCUCUUGUGGAUCAGUGGCGAACGGGUGAGUAACACGUGAGCAACCUGCCCCUGACUCUGGGAUAAGCGCUGGAAACGGCGUCUAAUACUGGAUAUGUGAUGUGACCGCAUGGUCUGCAUCUGGAAAGAAUUUCGGUUGGGGAUGGGCUCGCGGCCUAUCAGCUUGUUGGUGAGGUAAUGGCUCACCAAGGCGUCGACGGGUAGCCGGACUGGGAGGGUGACCGGCCACAGUGGGACUGAGACACGGCCCAGACUCCUACGGGAGGCAGCAGUGGGGAAUAUUGCACAAUGGGCGGAAGCCUGAUGCAGCAACGCCGCGUGAGGGAUGACGGCCUUCGGGUUGUAAACCUCUUUUAGCAGGGAAGAAGCGAAAGUGACAGUACCUGCAGAAAAAGCACCGGCUAACUACGUGCCAGCCGCCGCAGUAA